UACGUAGGGAGCAAGCGUUGUCCGGAAUCAUUGGGCGUAAAGCGCGCAUAGGUGGCCUCAUAAGUCCGCUGUGAAAGUCAAAGGCUCAACCUUUGAAAGCCGGUGGAUACUGUGAGGCUAGAGUACGGAAGAGGCGAGUGGAAUUCCUGGUGUAGCGGUGGAAUGCGCAGAUAUCAGGAGGAACACCAAUAGCGAAGGCAGCUCGCUGGGACGUUACUGACACUGAGGCGCGAAAGCGUGGGGAGCGAACAGG
rnacentral:rRNA from 1 species